UGUAACCUGAUUUCCUAUUUCCUUCCUCCCAUUCAUUCUUUGACUGGUCUCCUUGUUGAAAAGAAUGGCCUCCCGUCACCAGAACGGUCAUAUGUGUUCAAUGGUGACUUUGUGGAUCGAGGCAAGGAUUCAGUAGAGAUCCUGAUGAUUCUUUUUGCCUUCAUGCUGGUUUACCCCAAAGAGUUCCACCUUAACAGAGGAAACCAUGAGGACCAUAUGGUGAACUUACGAUAUGGCUUCACCAAGGAAGUGAUGAAUAAAUACAAGAUACACGGGAAGGAAAUACUAAGAACCCUGCAAGAUGUUUUCUGUUGGCUUCCACUGGCCACUCUGAUAGAUGAGAAAGUUCUAAUUCUUCAUGGUGGGGUGUCAGACAUAACUGAUCUGGAGCUUUUGGACAAAAUAGAGAGGAGCAAGGUAGUGGUUAAUGAAAUAAUACAAAUUUCACCAUAAUGCCCAGUUUCAUUGCCAAUAUAAAUGUCAUCUUACAUGCUGACUGCAGUCAACUGAUUAUGGCUGUUAAGAGUGUGGAGGCCGUUAGGAGUAUGGAGGCUGGGCACAGUGUCUCACACCUAUAAUCUCAGCACUUU
rnacentral:sRNA from 1 species